AGUCCAGUAGUAGCACCUCGCCGAGUAGACCUGCAUGCAAUCUAACGACUCUCGAUCUACAAUCUUUAUCCUGCGUAUGCCAGGAGAAUGUUGUAAAUUGUCGAAAUUUAAGUCCCAAGUUAGAAAAAGUGCCAAGUGAUAUCCCACAGACGGUGCUGGUAUUAGAGCUGGACAACAACAGAAUACAAGAAAUUACCGAAAAUGUCUUCAUGUACCUUGAAAGACUAACGCAUUUAUCCCUCAAGAAUAAUUCAUUGGCCAUAGUCCACCCUGACGCUUUCAAAAACUUAUUUCAGCUUUGUAUUUUAGAUUUGAGUGAAAAUCUUCUAACAGCUAUAAGCAUUUCUAGCUGUAAUAUUCCCCACGUACCAAAUCUAGUUGUG